rnacentral:rRNA from 1 species
GACGAACGCUGGCGGCGUGCCUAAUACAUGCAAGUCGAACGAGCGGCGGACGGGUGAGGAAUGUAUGGGGACUGCCCGUUAGAGGGGGAUAACUAUUGGAAACGGUAGCUAAUACCGCAUACUAUCGGAUAACCCAUAUGGGAGUAGCUAGUAGGUGAGGUAAUGGCUCACCUAGGCGACGAUCCCUAGCCGGUCUGAGAGGAUGAUCAGCCACACUGGGACUGAGACACGGCCCAGACGCCUACGGAGGCAGCAGUGGGGAAUAGUGCACAAUGGGCGCAAGCCUGAUGCAGCCAUGCCGCGUGUAUGAAGAAGGCCCUAGGGUUGUAAAGUACUUUCAGUCGGGAGGCGUUACCGACAGAAGAAGCACCGGCUAACUCCGUGCCAGCAGCCGCGGUAAUAC